AGAACCUCAUCACCUUAAUAUUGCAAAAGUUCAUCUGCAUCCUGCAGUGCUGGUGUCCUGCUAGGAAAUGAGGAGCAGUUCCCUCAAUAAGACCCACAUUGCUCCCCGACAGACACAAUGACAUGAUGGGAGUGGUGACACAAGGCUCUUACUGUUACAUUCAAUAAUUGAUUCUCCUGGAUGGAUUGUGACUCCCUAAAGGUUGCAAAGAGAGAAGCAGCGAUACAUGUUCUUCAGUUAUACAGAGAUGAAUGUUCAUUCCAUGUGCUGUUUUCAGCUGUGUACUUACACCAGUCCAAAAUCCCAAAGAGGAAAGUAAAAGCUGAGAUUCCCAUCAGUAGCAGAGAACAUCAGGUGAUGUUGAUUUAAAGAAAACAUUAAUCAAUCCAGAUUUGCUUGGAACGGGGCCCAGGUUCACUCAACAGGUUGGUGAACCUUAGCAAAUGUUUCUGUGAAUCUGUUCUGUAUUUUGACUUUGUAACAUGAUCUGAAAUCAUCUGAGUUUCAUGUGGUUUUGUUGUGCACGUUUGGAACGCUCGUGGGGCGAAUCCAGGGAGAGACAGAGGCGCUAAAUUUUGCAUGACGUGGAAAGGUAAGAAGUGUUUCACUCCUCCAGACACUCCCUGACACCAAAGUGAACAACAGUUGAUGCUGUCAGCACAGUUUUAAAAGAGGAGACAAUCACUGUCUGUCAGGCUCCUUGUGUCUCCAGGAGUCUUUAUUUUGGAGCCAACAGACAGUCUUCAAAUCAUAUAGUGAAAAUCCCUAUCAUGAGUUUUGUUAUAUUCCUUUUCUCUGUUUCUGGUAAAUGUCAAAAGUUUUACUGCAUGGGCAGGUACUGGAGUUGUGAACAGUAUGUUAUGUUUCUUGAUGUAUAUUGGUUUGAAGAAGUUUUAUAGUGCUUCUAAAAAUUAGGUUUUUAUGUUGAGUCUGUGGAUGAACAACUUGUGUUUUAACUUUAUUCGGUUUAUUUCUGAAUUCAUAAAAAGGUGUAUUCAGCCUCCAUAGCUGGAUAUAAAGUAUUUAAGAUCCAUCUACACCAAUCAGGUAAAAAAUAUGAUGAGGUGACACUUUCUAUUAAUUUUAUUUUUAGUCCAAACUGGAGCCCAGAGCAAUAAAGAUGUGAGACGCUGUGCGAAAAACA
rnacentral:lncRNA from 1 species